GGAUUGUGGCUCAAUGGUAGAGCACACGCCAAGCAUGGGAGGGACCCGGGUUCGAUUCUCAGCACCA
rnacentral:tRNA from 1 species